GCCUACCCCGGAGAGGCGUAAUGCCACUCGCUGCCCUCCACACAACGCUUCUCUGCCCGAUUUGAAAAAGCGUGCGUUCUUCCCUGCCAAGGACGGACUCAAUCCCGGUUCCGGCCUGCUCCGAGUCUCGGGGUUCAGGGUGCGGUUCAGUCCCACCAGGAGAAGGGCAGUUUAUAUAAUAGCGGCUUCCGGCCCUGCUCGGUUGGCCUCUCCCCCACCCCCCUUCCAAAAGUCGAGGGAGAGGCCGGAGGGGAGGCCAUCAGAGAACAGAGCCGGGCCAGGCACCGAGAGAAGAGAUUGUGACGCCGGCCCCGCGCAGCUCCGGCUCCUACUACAAGAGCAGCAGCAGGAGCAACAAAAGAAGUAGCAAGCGCCGGCGGAGGAGCGAGACCCGAGACUGUGACUCAGGAAAGAGGGAGCAGACGAAGGGUCCGGUAACUAGAGCCACUAUUUCGGGAGUGGUUCUAGUUCCAGUUCCAGUUCGUGAAGGGUAGAGGUCAAGCUCUCAGGCUCCGUAAUGUAGGGUGCCUUGGGGGUCUCCCCUCUGCUGUACAACAUACACAUGAAGCUACUGGGGGAAAUCAUCCCUUGGAAGGAGUUGCAUUCCUGCAUAUAAAUCAUUUCUGCAAUAUGGGGUUUUUCCUGGAUUCAUGGCUCCCUCAGUAGCAGGUAAAGAUGUGGUCAAAAGGACCUGCACACCUUCAACUUAUGUGCCAGUUGCAGCUAUUCCUGAACUAGGAAUUAUUGAAAUCACUUUAUCCUUGUCACCUCAAGCUUGGCCUGAUGCUACUUGUUGUAUAAGAGGCUGCCGUCCAUGCUGUCCUCUAUAAAUGAAAAUGUCUUUA